rnacentral:rRNA from 1 species
GAUGAACGCUGGCGGCGUGCCUAAUACAUGCAAGUCGAGCGAACGGACGAGAAUCUUGCUUCUCUGAUGUUAGCGGCGGACGGGUGAGUAACACGUGGAUAACCUACCUAUAAGACUGGGAUAACUUCGGGAAACCGGAGCUAAUACCGGAUAAUAUUUUGAACCGCAUGGUUCAAAAGUGAAAGACGGUCUUUCUGUCUCUUAUAGAUGGAUCCGCGCUGCAUUAGCUAGUUGGUAAGGUAACGGCUUACCAAGGCAACGAUGCAUAGCCGACCUGAGAGGGUGAUCGGCGACACGGGAACGGAGACACGGUCCAGAAGCCUACGGGAGGCAGCAGUAGGGAAUAUUCCGCAAUGGGCGAAAGCCUGACGGAGCAACGCCGCGUGAGUGAUGAAGGUCUUCGGAUCGUAAAACUCUGUUAUUAGGGAAGAACAUAUGUGUAAGUAACUGUGCACAUAUUGACGGUACCUAAUCAGAAAGCCACGGCUAACUACGUG